UUUUUUUUUAAAUCGAUAUUAGAAGCAAUGAAAAAACACGGUCAAUGAAAAGGUCUCUUUUUUCUCUUGGCGCAUGUUAGACUAACGUGAGCCAUCCAUGGGGAAGAGAGCACAAAACCCUACUCUGAAGGCAAUUAAAGCUCGGGAAUCUGCUACUCUUGGAGCAUGGGACAAAAAGAAGAAAGAAUUGACACAAUUGAAGAAUAAGAUGGAAGAAAUAGGGGGCGGUAAAACGAAUGAAACAAUGGAGCAAAACCCUAGCGAUUUGGGGAAGCUGAAACAAUAAAGACGAAUGCUAAAGAAAUUGAAACACGAGGAACAUCAGAGAAGUGGGUGAAUCUAGCUCAGGCUUCAAGUAGCAGGAGCAAAAUCUCAUGGGCAGAUGAAGUAGAAGAAGUUGAAGCAGGGGAGAAAAAGGGAUCGAUCUGGGAUAAUUUCGACAUUGCGAAGAUCACAAAUGCUGGUUUCAAAUUAGAAUUUGUAUCACCCGAUAAGCAUGGUGAGUCUUCGAUCUAUGAAAUUGAAGAUGAGGAUAUUGCAUCAUAAAUUUCUUAUUGCAAAAUUGCACUUGUAUGCUACGUACUUGGGGCCUAUCCGCCAUUCUUUGUUCUGAACGGAUACAUACAAAGGAUCUGGGGGAAACAUGGAAUCAAUAAGUUUUCAAUGCUUAAGAAUGAAAUAAUUCUUGUUCGAUUUGAUACUGUGUGUGAGGGGAAUGAGGUCAUUCAAGGUAGAAUCUACCACUUUGAUAAUAAACAUCUGAUUGUGAAAGCAUGGGAAGUAGAUAUAGAGUUCACAAGAGAGGCACUACACACAGUGUCAAUUUGGGUGAAACUCCAUGGUCUGGAUUUUAAAUACUGGAGUGCUAAAGGGUUAAGUGAGAUUGGGAAUUUGAUUGGCAAACCUAUCAUGGUUGAUCAUAAUACAGAGCAGAAGAAGGGCCUCAACUUUGCUAGACUACUCAUUGAGAUGGAGGUAGAUUCCAAUCUGGCAGACAAAAUUAUUUUCAAAAAUGAAAGAGAAAAUUUGAUUGAACAACAAGUACAAUACGAUUGGAAACCAAUAUUGUGAACUAUGUGCCACAAGUAUGGUCACUCAGAGGCACAAUAUAGAAAGAAGAAUGGGUCUCCACCUAAAGCAAAAGGGGGAAGAGAAAAGGAGGAAAACAUAGCAGAACCAAGUAUUGGGAAACCAAUAGGAUCAACAUCACCUGGAAGAGCCACAACAACACAGGGGAGUACACAAAUGGGUCUUAGAAUUGAUAAAGGGGAAAGGGACAGAACAGUGUAGUAGAUGGAAAUGCAUACAAGACUAGAGGAAAGGAGAAACAAUAACCAAGUGAAAGAGUGAAUGUCGGAUGGGUCACACCUUUGAAUACAACUAAGGGUGACAUAGUGCAAAAAUAAAGGGGUGAGCUAAAAAACACCUUUCAAGUCUUGACAACGGUUGAAUCAGAAGUUCAAAUUCCUAGAAGUCCACCCAGGAAUGGGGAGGCAAUGCAGUGCAACCCCAGGAGCAUGGAUAAUAUUCUGUGUUGGAAUGUUAGGGGCCUCAAUGCCCCUAACAAACAAAGGGAUGUUAAACUCCUAUGUAGUAGAGAAAAUACAGGACUUAUGGGGUUCUUGGAAAUAAAAAUUAAGCAAAUAAGAUAGGGAAGGUGGCAAAUACAAUAUUUGGAGGAUGGGGGUUUGUGACAAACUUGGACCACCGUCCAAAUGGUAGAGUUUGUGUGACUUGGAGGCCCGACUACUAUACGGUUACAUCACUGAGUGAGACUACUCAGGCAAUAACUUAUAAGAUGGAAGCUAUAUCACUAUAGAUGACUUGUUUUGCUAACUGUAGUAUAUGGGUUCAACACAUGAGAAGAAAAGAGAUCAUUAUGGAGUUAUUUGGAGAUAGUGAAUGUGGGUAACAAUCUACGAUGGGUACUCAUGGGGGAUUUUAAUUAUGUGCUGAAGUUGGAGGAUAGAAUUAGGGGGAACCAAGUGAGUAUAGCUGAGGUAGUUGAUUUUCACUCCUGCGUGGACAAUUACAACCUGCUGGAAUUACCUCAUCAGGGCAGCCAUUAUACUUGGAAUGAUAAAUAGGGAGAGAGUAGGGUCUUUUCUAAAAUAUUGGGUCUUUGUCAACAAUGAGUGGUUAAGUAAGAUGUUUGCUUUCAUUGCAAAACUUCCUACCAUAAGGAAUUAAUGAUCAUUGUCCUAUGAAACUAAGAAGUUGAGCAUGCCUAGAAGAGAAAGAAGACCAUUCAAAUUCUGCAAUGUAUGGACUAGCCACCCAUUAUUUCUAGACAAAGUACAGGAAGUCUGGGAGCAACAAAUAUAUGGAUGUAGUAUGUGGAGAGUUAUAAAGAAACUGAAAAAAUUAAAAAGGAGUUUCAGAGCACUAAAUGGAUAAUAUUUUAGGAAUAUUAUAUCUAAUGUAGAAGAGGACAGGAAUAUAUUAAGUCGACUCCAAUUGGCCCUACACACAAGACCUGGAGAUACAACGCUACAAUAGAAAGAAAGGGAACAGUACAUAAAAUUUAGGAGGACAUCUUACCUAGCAAAAAUAUUUUUGCAACAAAAGAGUAAGGCCACGUGGAUCAAAUUGGGGGAUGGAUAUACCAAAUAUUUCUUUUCAGUGAUAAAACAUAGACAAUUACAGCAGGCAAUCAUUCAGUUGAAGGACAAGCAGGGAACAUGCAGACAAAUCAAGAUGAUAUUACUAAGGUACUGGUGGAAUACUACCAGGACAUGUUGGGGAGGAAGGAGAAAAAUAGAACCAAAACUUUUAAUAGUUUCCUAAAGAAUGGAUAUGUACUAACUACAGGUGAUCAAUUACAAUUGUUGAGUUCAUAUAUUAAAAAGGAAGUAAAGAAUGCCAUGUUCAGUAGUGAUGCAAACAAAAGCCCAGGGCCUGAUGGAUAUGGAAGUAGUUUUUACAGGAAGGCAUGGAGCAUUGUAGAAAAGAAUAUCACUGAAGCUGUUUUAGAAUUCUUUGCUAAUGGAAAAAUUUUGCAGCAACUAAACUCUACAAUGAUUACUUUGAUCCCAAAGAUAGCAUCACCACUGAAUGCUAAUGAGUUUAGACCUAUAUCUUGCUGCAAUGUGAUAUAUAAGUGUAUAUCCAAGAUGAUAUGUGCAAUGUUGAAACAGGUACUGUCACUGAUUGUUAAUGAGAAUCAAGUUACCUUUGUUCAAGGUAGGUCUCUCAUUCAUAAUGUACUAAUUUGCCACGACCUGCUGAGGCAUUAUAAUAGAAAAAUAUCCCCUAGAUGUUUAAUGGAGAUUGAUUUGAGAAAGGCCUAUGACAUGGUAAGUUGAGUCUUCAUUGAGGAAGCAUUAAAUGGAUAUGGUUUCCCAAGAACUUUUGUGAGAUUGGUAAUAACUUGUGUAACAAUAACAAAAUUCAUAAUAAAAGUAAAUGGGGACGAAUAUGGGUUCUUUGAAGGAAGGGGGAGCCUCAGGCAGGGAGAUCCUAUGUCACAUCUACUAUUUGUGUUAGUGAUGGAAUACUUGACUAGAGUUAUGAAGAGAGUGGGGGAUUUACCUAAUUUCAGGUAUCACCCAAUGUGCAAGUCCACAAGACUAAACCAUCUGUGCUUUGUUGAUGAUUUGAUGGUAUUUUGCAAGGGUAACUUGACUUCUAUAACCAGAAUAAUGGAAGCUAUAAACCAUUUUAGCAGAGUGACAGGUUUAGUGGCAAACCUGGAUAAAUCAAAUAUAUCUCUGGCUGGGAUACCUGAAGAAGAACAAGACAGAAUCAUAGAGUAUACAGGAUUUACUAGAGGUACUCUACCUAUGAGGUACCUCGAUUGUAUCUCUCUUCAAAGAAGUGGUCUUAAAUAGAGUGUCAUCAGUUGGUAGAGAAGAUCACAAAGAGAAGUUGUUACUGCUAUAUGGGGAGUCAUGAUAUACUAUACAUGGCAAGUUAGGAAUUAGAAAGUGUUUAGGCAAACAAGUGCAAAUAUAGAGUUUGUAAUAGCGCAGAUACAAAGAGAUAUUAAGGUGAGACUUGAGAAACAUAGGGAAUCUAGAAAAGCCAGAAAAUAUCAAUAUUUAGUCCAAAAGUUUUGUAACUAUAGAGGUGGGGCUGAAGACUCUGUCAGAGGUUCAAUAGCUUAUGCACCCUUCCUAGAAGGUGGCAAAGGUGUUGGAUGCUCUUAGGUUGUAAAUUCGUUAUUUUGGUUGGUUAUGGUACAUACUUCGCAGGUUUUUACCAAUAUUAGAAGCGAUAUUCAUCCGAAGUUUUUAGCUCGAAAUGAGAUAUAUUUUUAAGGUCAGUGAAAUAUCAUCACUCUCUUAAUACUCCCUCCGUUCACUUUUGCUUAUCCAGUAUUUCACUUUUACUUGUCACUUUUAGUAUAUUAAGACUCAGACCCUACUUGUGGGACUACACUGGUUUGUUGUUCUUGUUUUAGCAUAUUAAGAGAAGAUAAUUUCUUUUUUCCUGUUAUACCACAAUAUUAAUUACUCAUUUCAAAUUAUUUUUUCAAAAUUAUUAAAUAUAUGUAUCAAUUAAUAUGAAUAUCAUGAUAAAUUAUAUAUUUUAUUUAUUAUUUUUUAAGGAUGUGCAAAAUCUAUAGUGGAUAAGUAAAAGUGAGAAAAAGAACGGCUAUGUGGGUUAAUUAUUCUUUUAUUUAUCUCUUUUCGUUUCAAAAUGUGAUAUACAAAUUGGAAAAUUGAACGCAAAUUUUAAAAUUUGACUAAGACAAAUAUAAGACCGGCGCACGGACCCCACAAACCGCACGGACCCCACAAACCGCACGUAGAUUAUGCCAAUUGCUUUUGAACAUUAUCUUCAAGUGUUUGUGUUGGCAAUGUUCCAAGCAUCCUUUGACCAUUACAAGGUUACCAUGUCCUAAGGACACGUUUGUCUCCUUAAACGACCUCGUUUUCUUCUUCACCUCCUUGCCUCCUCCUCCUCCACACCCUGCCGCAGCUCAGAGAAGCCAAUGAUGAAAUCCAUUUCCAUGGCCAAAUCCUCCCCAUGUUGUCGCCUUCAAUCUAAAGGACUAGGAGAUAGAUAGACAAAGAAAUCUUCGGUUAGCUAUGGAUCAUAUACAGUCAAGGGAAAGUGAUUUAGAGAUAGAUCUAGAGAGUGGGGGAACAACUAGUGAGGAAGAUGGCAGUAAUAACCAAGAUCUGACUGAGGAAGCUUCUAAUAAAGAGUUGUAUAAAGCGGGGAGUGGGUUUUGUGGAGUUCAAUCGUCAUAUGGAUUUGCAAGGAAGCAAGAUGGUUCAAAUACUUAUAAGAAGGUGUUAAGUGCUGAUGAGCUUUCUGUUAGGUGUACAGAAAUUUGGUCGAACAAAGUAAGAGAGGAGAUGGAAAAUUCGAGGGACGAUAAAAUGGAUAUUGAGAGGACUAGGAAGCCAAAGCCUCCGAAACCACCUAGACCCCCAAAGGGUCCAUCACUAGAUGCUGCUGACAUUAAGUUCGUCAAGGAAAUAUCUGAGAUUGCUAUAUGGAAGCGUAGAAGGACCGAAAGAAUUAAGGCAUUGAAGAAAAUAAAAAAGGAGAGUGCAUCAUCUUCGAAGAUGAAUAUAUUAGCAACAGUGAUCACGGUUCUGUUCUUCUUGAUUAUUAUAUUUCAAGGUACUCUCGUAUCCUGGGGCAUGCGAAAUUUUGAUGCAUCGGCAUUAUUGAGAGUAUGAACUUCUUCAUAAAAUUUGUUAUCUUGGAUAUCUUUUGAAUGUUCUUCUUUCAAUAUCCUAGGGCGUGAGGGCGUCUAAACCAAGUAUGUCUUUUUAUUGCUGACCUAGUGUUUAUCGUUUUGAGUGAGAUAAUGACUUGCAUAUAAAGUUGUUAGGUAUUUUUACUUUUGAAGGUACUACAUUUUGUUGUACGUUCAAAUUUCUCUUGUUUUUGCCUCCGUUAGAUAUAUCUGAAGAUUAGUUUUUCUUUUGCUGCUAAACUGCCUGAAAGAAAAUGAAGAUCACAGCUCUUUACUGCAAUACUUUAGCAUACAGUUCUUAUAGGAACAUUGAACUUAAAGACACUGGGUGGUUCAAGGCAUGGUCCAUUUAAUUUGGAAUAAUCCAAUUAAGUUUUGAUGAUUAAACUGUCGCAGAAGGAUGAGGAAAAUAAAUGACAUGUUAGGAUGGAGGAUUUGCAUAUUACUUCGAGAAAUAAUCAGGUGGUUUAUCUUGUAUGGAGGUUAACAUAUUUUAGUGUCAAUGAUAUGGCUAUAUGAGCUUACUGGUUGUCAAUUCUUAUUAUUCCUUCUGUGUUUAACUCUUCUUGUUCCAUGUUCCUUAUGAGAACUAUCUAUAUGAAAUGAUAGUGCGCGCCCAAAAAAAAGCAUGAUAACUUGCUGAAGAAAUUGAAUAAAUAAGCAAGAAAGAGAGAGAUCAAGGCUCUAGCUUGCAGCAGUUGCCUUUAUACAAAACUAUAUCGUUAUUCAAAAUGCUCUGGAAAUUUCAUUAGCUAAAUGCACCGAAGUCCAAUUUAUGUCUGUUGUUAAUUAUUAUGAGCCAAAACCUCUUGCUUUGCAAGUUAAAGAUUUCCUCUUCCUCUGGUUGAAUCAUACAAUAUCAGAAGCUUACUGAAACUUGUUUUCUUCAUUUUCCUUAUAAUUUUUGCAUGAAAAUCUUAAGCUGGUCAACAUUGGCACACUUCUAGUAUUUCAACUGAAGCUGCUUACAUUUGAUGGAAUUAAGUAGGUUGUUUCUGGUUUUCCAGUUAGGCAUUAACAAGGUGACUGAAUUGUGCUUAAUGAAGCAUGGCGUAGCACUCAGUCAAAUUUUUGAAAUGCCAUUUCAUAAUGUCUGUUCAAAGAUUCCCUAAUACGUAGCUGAACUUUCUUAGGUGUUCUGGGCUCUCGUGUGUGACAGCAGUUAGUAUGCCGCCUUUCAAGUUCAGAGUGAUCAGGGGUUGUGGAUGUGGAAUCACAGAGGAACUGCCUCAAACAAUUAAAAUUAUUUCGAAAUGGGUAAAUUGCGACUGCUCUUGUACAGAAAUGUAAUAAGGAUUUUGGUAAAGAGCUCCUGAUAUUUGUAGGUGUGCUAGAAAAAGGGAUUUCAACUACAUGCCCCUUGAUCCAGGCAUGAUUUUGAUGUUGUACAUUUGUACGUUAAGAAUGUAGAAGGGGCCAUUGCAGAGCUUGACUUGCAGUUGCGGAAUAGAAUUACUAAUCUUGACUUAAGAUAUGAACGCAUAAAUGUUUUGGUUACAUUAACUCUUACAGGAAGUAUUACUCCUUUUGUCUA